rnacentral:rRNA from 1 species
GAUGAACGCUGGCGGCGUGCUUAACACAUGCAAGUCGAACGGAGAGCUCAUGACAGAGGAUUCGUCCAAUGGAUUGAGUUUCUUAGUGGCGGACGGGUGAGUAACGCGUGAGGAACCUGCCUCGGAGUGGGGAAUAACAGUCCGAAAGGACUGCUAAUACCGCAUAAUGCAGUUGUGUCGCAUGACACUGACUGCCAAAGAUUUAUCGCUCUGAGAUGGCCUCGCGUCUGAUUAGCUAGUUGGCGGGUAACGCCACAAGGCGACGAUCAGUAGCCGGACUGAGAGGUUGGCCGGCCACAUUGGGACUGAGACACGGGCCCAGACUCCUACGGGAGCAGCAGUGGGAAUAGUUGGGCAAGUGGGCGCAAGCCUGACCCAGCAACGCCGCGUGAAGG